AUUGAACGCUGGCGGCAGGCUUAACACAUGCAAGUCGAGCGGAGAUGAGGUGCUUGCUCCUUAUCUUAGCGGCGGGCGGGUGAGUAAUGCUUAGGAAUCUGCCUAUUAGUGGGGGACAACAUUCCGAAAGGAAUGCUAAUACCGCAUACGUCCUACGGGAGAAAGCAGGGGAUCUUCGGACCUUGCGCUAAUAGAUGAGCCUAAGUCGGAUUAGCUAGUUGGUGGGGUAAAGGCCUACCAAGGCGACGAUCUGUAGCGGGUCUGAGAGGAUGAUCCGCCACACUGGGACUGAGGCACGGCCCAGACUCCUACGGGAGGCAGCAGUGGGGAGUAUUGGACAAUGGGGGGAACCCUGAUCCAGCCAUGCCGCGUGUGUGAAGAAGGCCUUAUGGUUGUAAAGCACUUUAAGCGAGGAGGAGGCUACUGAGACUAAUACUCUUGGAUAGUGGACGUUACUCGCAGAAUAAGCACCGGCUAACUCUGUGCCAGCCGCCGCAGUAAAAC
rnacentral:rRNA from 1 species